GUGAAAUGUCUGGAGAGUAAGUCAUAUGAGACACAGCUGAGAGAGCUGGGGUUGUUUAGCUUGGAGAAAAAGGGAGCUCAGGGGAGACCUUAUCCCUCUACAACUGCCUGAAAGGAGACUGAGGUCAGGUCUUUUUUCAGAAAUUAACAGCCUACAAAAGAUAAUGAGCUCUGUGAAUCUUAUUAAAGCAAGUUACAGCUGACUGACAAGUAAAUUCUUCCAGAUGAGACCAACUGGCCAGUGGGCCUGGCAGCUGAUUUCCAGUGGGGGCACUGUCCUGUGCUGCAAGGCAGCUCUGUCAUCCACACAACUUCAGAUCCUCCCAAAUGAUGCUUUCACAUGAUUUGGAUGGUACAAAGGCCUUUAUUUCUUUUUUAAUCAUUAUCAAUUCAAAUGUGACAUUUUCAGUUUUAAUACCUUACUUUUUUUCCCUUUGCUUCCCAAAAUAGAAGCUCAAAAGUGUUUCAGUUCCCUUCGUGAAAUAAGGCUCUCUACAGAAUUUGACCCUUUUUAAUUUUUAAUAUUAUUGUUAGGUUUGUAUUGGAAAACUGUACUGUCUGAGCUAGUACAGAACCACUUUACCAGCUCCUGUCUCCAGAAAGGUGAUUUUUCCUUCACUUUUUGGAGUGUGGAGUGAUGUUGUACUAACACUAAGUAAAUUACUCCAACAGCAGCUUGUAGUGGAGAAAUUAUACUGUGUAAUAUUUUACAAUGUUUUCAGUCCUUUACUCCCAUAUCAGCAAAACUUCACCUGAGAAAUUAAUGAAACUGUGAGCUGAGUGGUGGGAAUUGUUGGAAAGAGAAACACUUUACACAUGAGUUGUUUAGCAGUUGGAAAUGCAGUUCCUGUGUUCAUUUUCUUAAAUGCAAGAAAAGACAUUUCAGACUUGAUGUAUAAGUAAAGACAGGAAAUAUUCCUAAUAAAAAAGGAAAUGUCAAAAUUCACAUGGCUAGAAAAUGAUGCUAAUGUGUGAUUUUUUUCCCUCAAAAAUAAAUGAUCAUGUAGAGGAACUUAGCACAUACACUUCCACACACAUGCACAAGAAAGGCCAGAAGAAUGUUUCUGCUCCUGACAUGAAGAGCUUCAAGCAUUUUGUUAGAUCUCUUUCUAGUCAGU